AUGAACACGAGACUUCUCUGCUGUGUAGCCUUUUGUCUCCUGGAAGCAGACCUUGUGUACAUGGAAGUAACCCAGAGGCCAAGAUACCUGGUCCAAAGAGUGGGAGAGGAAGUUGUCCUGGAAUGUGUACAGGACAUGGGCCAUGAAAAGAUGUACUGGUAUCGACAAGACCGAGGUCUGGAGCUACGACUGAUUUAUUUAUCAUGCGAUGUUGACAGUAACAGUGAACGAGACAUCCCUAAAGGAUACAGGGUUUCCCGGAAGAAGAGGGAGAAUUUCUCCCUGAUACUGGAGUCUGCUAAAGCCAACCAGACAUCUGUGUACCUCUGCUCCAGCAGUCUAGGGCAACAGAAAUCAGAAAUCUAUUUUGGAGAAGGAAGCCGGCUCACUGUUGUAGAGGAUCUGAGCAAGGUGAGCCCACCUAAGGUCACCUUGUUUGAGCCAUCAGAAGCAGAGAUCGUCGACAAACAAAUGGCUACCCUCGUGUGCCUGGCCAGGGGCUUCUUCCCCGACCACGUGGAACUGAGUUGGUGGGUGAAUGGGAAGGAGGUCCUCAGCGGAGUCAGCACGGACCCUCAGCCCUACAAGGAGCUCAAUAACAUCACCUACUGCCUGAGCAGCCGCCUGAGGGUCUCCCGCGACCUUCUGGCACAAUCCUCGCAACCACUUCCGCUGCCAAGUCCAGUUCUUCGGGCUGGCAGAUGAGGACGAGUGGAAGGGGCCCUCGACCAAACCCGUCACCCAGAACGUCAGUGCAGAGGCCAGGGGCAGCGCAGAUUGUGGUAUUACCUCAGCCUCCUACCAACAAGGGGUCCUGUCUGCCACCAUCCUUUAUGAGAUCCUGCUGGGGAAAGCCACCCUGUAUGCGGUGCUCGUCAGUACCCUGGUGCUGAUGGCUGUGGUCAAAAGGAAGGAUUCCUGAGGCCGGACCUGGAGAUGGAGUCCAGAACUUCCAACCCAUUGUGGUGUUAACAAGGGGUCUCCUUUUCCAGCACUUCUGAAGAGCUGUUCUCACUUGCCUGUGCAUCCCAAAGUGUGCUUACUGGUUGUGUGCUUACACAUGUACAGCUGAAAUCCCUGUGACCUGGAGAGUGCCUAGCACACUUACAACCAAUAAACAUAGCCAAUAAACGUGUUCUAGAAUG